GCCUUCGUGGUGUAGUGGUCAGCACGCUCGGCGCUUAUUCGAGAGAUCCCUGGUUCGAGUCCCGGCGAGGGCA
rfam:Stegodyphus mimosarum contig121718, whole genome shotgun sequence.